UUUUGGACAAUGGGCGAAAGCCUGAUCCAGCAAUGCCGCGUGUGGGAAGAAGGCCUUCGGGUUGUAAACCACUUUUGUACGGAACGAAAAGGUCUGCCCUAAUACGGUGGGCCCAUGACGGUACCGUAAGAAUAAGCACCGGCUAACUACGUGCCAGCAGCCGCGGUAAUACGUAGGGUGCGAGCGUUAAUCGGAGUUACUGGGCGUAAAGCGUGCGCAGGCGGUUAUAUAAGACAGUUGUGAAAUCCCCGGGCUCAACCUGGGACCUGCAUUUGUGACUGUAUAGCUAGAGUACGGUAGAGGGGGAUGGAAUUCCGCGUGUAGCAGUGAAAUGCGUAGAUAUGCGGAGGAACACCGAUGGCGAAGGCAAUCCCCUGGACCUGUACUGACGCUCAUGCACGAAA
rnacentral:rRNA from 1 species